GGAGGGGCGUGGGGAGGGGUGGAGUGGAGUGGAGUGGAGGGGGCGUGCUGGGGGAGGGCAUGGCAGAAAGGCCAGCCUAGGCACCCCACACCUGUCUGAGGGCCGCAGGAGGCUCUGGUAGGCACACGCAUCCCAGGCCACCCUGAGUCUCAUACUGCCCCCAUUCCC
rnacentral:miRNA from 1 species